AUGAAGAUGAAGAUCACGAAGAGGAGUUGGCUCCCCAGACACCGCAGGCUGCCACCAAGGCCCUCGAUUUCUGGAGGGAUGUGCGUGGGGCAUGACGCAGACACAAAUGAGGGUUGGCAGGAGGUGCUACCACGGCGCGGCCCGCGUCGUCCAACUUCAUCGCCUUCCUCGACAAUGGCUCCUCGUCCCAUCCCUGCUUGGCUUCGCUGUAGAUGUUACAGAUGCUUCGCUCAUGGUCAUCGCGUGGCUGUUUGCAAAGAGCCGUUGCGGUGCUCCCGUUGUUUGGAGAACGGUCAUCGUGCGCGUGGAUGUUGCAACCCAUGGCGUCCUCUAAGCUCACUGCCAUGCAAUGAUGUGCCGCUCGUGUCGCAGCUCGACAUCGUGCAUCGUCCUGCUCUUGCUUCAUGUGAGGGUCCGAUGAGAUCCGCACUCCCAUCCAAGGCGCUUCAUCGUGGGUCUUGGGCGUCUGUCGUCUCUGGUAUCGUUGGCUCACCAACCUCGUCGGAGCUGAUGUUGCAGUCCGCUUUGGCUGAUCAGACUGCGUUGCUGCAAGGUUGUCUGGCGCGUGUUGGGUGCUUUUUAGAGCGAGCGGAGGCUGCUCUGAGUAGACUCUCCCUUGCACCGGCUAUGUUGCAGACCUCUCUGACGCCGCACUCUCCUUGUGCGGCCGGUGUUUGCUCCGCCGAGGAGAGGGGGGCGGAGUUAUAUGGCUCCUUCUCCCCUCGUGUUGGAGAGAAUUCAUCCUCGAUGCCUACCUCCCAUCCUAUGUUGUCUUCCACUAAGGGCGAGUCCAUUGCCAUGCUUGUGGCUCCGGUACUGCAGGUCAUGCCCGAGCUUAGGGAGCUAUGUCUGAGUUUGUCAGUGGAUCAUAUGAAGGUGGACACGUCGACGACCUCGAGCGAGGGUCAAGAUUCACCUUUGUCAAGUGAGCAGCUGGAGAUUCCUAUGGUUGACGAUGCGAGAGGGAAGGCAUCCAUGAUGUCAUGA
rnacentral:rRNA from 1 species